rnacentral:rRNA from 1 species
UACGUAGGGCGCAAGCGUUGUCCGGAAUUAUUGGGCGUAAAGAGCUCGUAGGCGGUUUGUCGCGUCUGCUGUGAAAACCUAAGGCUCAACCUUGGGCUUGCAGUGGGUACGGGCAGACUAGAGUGCGGUAGGGGGUGACUGGAAUUCCUGGUGUAGCGGUGGAAUGCGCAGAUAUCAGGAGGAACACCGAUGGCGAAGGCAGCACUCUGGGCUGGAACUGACGCUGAGGAGCGAAAGCGUGGGUAGCAAACAGG